AUUGCACGCUGGCGGCAGGCCUAACACAUGCAAGUCGACCGCGUGGCGGACGGGUGAGUAAUGGCGGGGAAACUGCCUGAUAGAGGGGGCUAACUGCUGGAAACGGUAGCUAAUACAGCAUACCAGCGGAUGUGCCCAGAGGGGAUUAGCUCGUAGGUGUGGUAAAGGCGCACCUAGGCGACGAGCCCUAGCUGGUAUGAGAGGAUGCCCAGCAACACUGGACCUGAGACACGGUCCAGACUCCUACGUGAGGCAGCAGUGGGGAAUAUUGCACAAUGGGCGCAAGCCUGAGGCAGCCAUGCCGCGUGUAUGAAGAAGGCCUGCGGGUUGUAAAGUACUUUCAGCGGGGAGGCGUUACCCGCAGAAGAAGCACCGGCUAACUCCGUGCCAGCCGCCGCGGUAAUUC
rnacentral:rRNA from 1 species